GGGUUUGUGGCUCAGUGGCAAGAGUGCUUGCCUUUCAUGUAUGAGGUACUGGGUUUGAUCCUCAGCACCA
rfam:Ictidomys tridecemlineatus contig104395, whole genome shotgun sequence.